UACGUAGGGGGCAAGCGUUGUCCGGAUUUAUUGGGCGUAAAGAGCGUGUAGGCGGCUAGGUAGGUCCGUUGUGAAAACUCGAGGCUCAACCUCGAGCUGUCGAUGGAAACCAUCUGGCUAGAGUCCGGAAGAGGCGAGUGGAAUUCCUGGUGUAGCGGUGAAAUGCGCAGAUAUCAGGAAGAACACCCGUGGCGAAGGCGGCUCUCUGGUACGUGACUGACGCUGAGACGCGAAAGCGUGGGGAGCGAACAGG
rnacentral:rRNA from 1 species